UACGUAGGGUGCAAGCGUUGUCCGGAAUUAUUGGGCGUAAAGAGCUCGUAGGCGGUUUGUUGCGUCGGCUGUGAAAUCCCCGAGGCUCAACCUCGGGUCUGCAGUCGAUACGAGCAAACUAGAGUGUUGCAGGGGAGACUGGAAUUCCUGGUGUAGCGGUGAAAUGCGCAGAUAUCAGGAGGAACACCGGUGGCGAAGGCGGGGUCUCUGGGGCAACAACUGACGCUGAGGAGCGAAAGCGUGGGGAGCGAACAGG
rnacentral:rRNA from 1 species